CCUACGGGGGGCAGCAGUGAGGAAUAUUGGUCAAUGGCCGGAAGGCUGAACCAGCCAUGCAGCGUGAAGGUCAGUGCCCUAUGGGCGUUAAACUUCUUUUGUGCGGGAGCAAUAAUGGUCACGUGUGGCCAGACGAGAGUACCGUACGAAUAAGCAUCGGCUAACUCCGUGCCAGCAGCCGCGGUAAUACGGGGGAUGCAAGCGUUAUCCGGAUUUAUUGGGUUUAAAGGGUGGGUGAGCUGGGAGGUAAGUCAGGGGUGAAAUGCCCCCGCUCAACGGGGUGAAGUGCCAUUGAUACUGCCUGGCUGGAAUGCGGAUGCGGUGGGAGGAAUGUGUGGUGUAGCGGUGAAAUGCAUAGAUAUCACACAGAACACCGAUUGCGAAGGCAUCUCACGAAUCCGCGAUUGACGCUGAUGCACGAAAGCGUGGGUAUCAAACAGGAUUAGAUACCCCUGUAGUC
rnacentral:rRNA from 1 species